rnacentral:rRNA from 4 species
GACCUCGAAUCAGGUAGGAAUACCCGCUGAACUUAAGCAUAUC